rnacentral:rRNA from 1 species
AGAGUUUGAUCCUGGCUCAGGACGAACGCUGGCGGCGCGCCUAACACAUGCAAGUCGAACGGAGCUGAGAGGAGCUUGCUUUUCUUAGCUUAGUGGCGAACGGGUGAGUAACGCGUGAGUAACCUGCCCUGGAGUGGGGGACAACAGUUGGAAACGACUGCUAAUACCGCAUAAGCCCACGAUCCGGCAUCGGAUUGAGGGAAAAGGAUUUAUUCGCUUCAGGAUGGACUCGCGUCCAAUUAGCUAGUUGGUGAGGUAACGGCCCACCAAGGCGACGAUUGGUAGCCGGACUGAGAGGUUGAACGGCCACAUUGGGACUGAGACACGGCCCAGACUCCUACGGGAGGCAGCAGUGGGGAAUAUUGCACAAUGGGGGAAACCCUGAUGCAGCGACGCCGCGUGGAGGAAGAAGGUUUUCGGAUUGUAAACUCCUGUCGUUAGGGACGAUAAUGACGGUACCUAACAAGAAAGCACCGGCUAACUACGUGCCAGCAGCCGCGGUAAAACGUAGGGUGCAAGCGUUGUCCGGAAUUACUGGGUGUAAAGGGAGCGCAGGCGGGAAGACAAGUUGGAAGUGAAAACCAUGGGCUCAACCCAUAAAUUGCUUUCAAAACUGUUUUUCUUGAGUAGUGCAGAGGUAGAUGGAAUUCCCGGUGUAGCGGUGGAAUGCGUAGAUAUCGGGAGGAACACCAGUGGCGAAGGCGGCCUACUGGGCACCAACUGACGCUGAGGCUCGAAAGCAUGGGUAGCAAACAGGAUUAGAUACCCUGGUAGUCCAUGCCGUAAACGAUGAUUACUAGGUGUUGGAGGAUUGACCCCUUCAGUGCCGCAGUUAACACAAUAAGUAAUCCACCUGGGGAGUACGACCGCAAGGUUGAAACUCAAAGGAAUUGACGGGGGCCCGCACAAGCAGUGGAGUAUGUGGUUUAAUUCGAAGCAACGCGAAGAACCUUACCAGGUCUUGACAUCCGAUGCAUAGCACAGAGAUGUGUGAAAUCCUUCGGGACAUCGAGACAGGUGGUGCAUGGUUGUCGUCAGCUCGUGUCGUGAGAUGUUGGGUUAAGU